rnacentral:rRNA from 1 species
GAUGAACGCUGACAGAAUGCUUAACACAUCAGCAAUUGAUUGGUGGCGGACGGGUGAGUAACGCGUAAAGAACUUGCCUCACAGCUAGGGACAACAUUUGGAAACGAAUGCUAAUACCCAAUACAGUGAGAGAGCUUUGCGUCCCAUUAGCUAGUUGGAGAGGUAACGGCCAACCAAGGCGAUGAUGGGUAGCCGGCCUGAGAGGGUGAUCGGCCACAAUGUGACUGGGACACGGCCCUUACUCCUACGGGAUGCAGCAGUGGGGGAUAUUGGCCAAUGGGCCAAAGUCUGAUCCAGCAAUUCUGUGUGCACGAUUAAGUUUUCGGGAUGUAAAGUGCUUUCAGUUGGGAAGCGGUACCAACAGAAGAAGUGACGGCUAAAUACGUGCCAGCAGCCGCGGUAAUAC